ensembl:lncRNA
CAAGGGAUUACAAACACAUAUAUAAAAUAAUUACCAACUAUAGAUAAAUUCUACAUAAUUAACACACACAAUCCCUUAAAACAAAUUGAGAACAGCUACGAAUAAACACCAACAAAUAUACAAACAAACAAACAAACAAACAAAGAUCUCUAUGCAAACUCCGCUGAAACCAAAACAACUCUCGAGCGUGCUUGCGUCAUGACGUCGCGGCGUCACAUGACGGCAGCAGCACAGCUGAGAGGGGAGCGUCAAGGCGGCGUAGAGCGGAUUACUCUGUGUUUACAUUCCGUUUACCGUCUCUUUUCUGCGUUUACUCCGAUUUUACCACAACAGCGCGCAUCUCCUGCAUCUGACCGCCUGAAGCAGGUUGAAGAGGAGCAGCAGAGUUCGGAGGCUCAUGGGAGCCCCGCACUGGAGGACGAGCAGACUUUCUCACAAUUCUGCUACACGAGAAAACUGGAGAAGACAAGUCCAAACCUCCCAGUUACAAGAAAAAGGUACGGUAAAAACAAUUACUCGGAGGUGUCGAGUCAGCAGUGUUACGGUCACCUGCGGCCCUCCGCCGUCCCUCCGGCGCUGCCCCCCGCUGACCUGGAGCUGGAGAAACCCAUCGCUGCCAGCUCCAGCUGAAGACACCAGCGGUCAGCCAUCGAUCGCUGGCCCUGUGCAACACUGAGUCACAAACUCUCAUCAUCUUAAAAUAUAUACGCCGUUCAAAAGUGCAAUUCCUGAAAACUCUACUAUUUUCUUAAGAACCGCAUCUUUUUUUUUUUAUCUUGAGAAGAAAAUAAGCUUAAUUUGUUGUUUUCAGAUUGCGUGACCUUUCUUGCCAAAAACACCUCGCGCAACACUUUUCAUUCGGAUUCGGCCGGAUUCACGAAAACAUGCAGCUUCAGAUGUUUACGAGCAAUUCCAAUAAGUUCGUAAGAGUCACAAAAACCUUCCUGAGAUAGAAGUUAAAGAUGAAUUCACAGAAAUCGGUAGCACUGUAUUUUACAGUCCUGUUCCACGUGUACAUACUGUGCUCUUAAUAAACAAUCCCAUAAUAACUGGGUACUAACCCUG